rnacentral:rRNA from 1 species
GGGUGCGAUCAUUCCAGCACUA